rnacentral:misc_RNA from 1 species
AUGCAAGAAUGAAAUAACAAAGUAUGUAAGUGAACCAAGAUGUAGUAUUGAACUUGUACAACCCCUUUCAAUGACCGUGCAUUGUAUAUGAUCGUAAGCUUAAGAACAAAUCCAAUUAUCGAACAGAUGUGGGAGGCCAAAGGUGUUCUGACUGUGUAUUGAAUAAAUUGUUGAAUGCACUUUCAAAUUACAAAUUCGAUUUCCCAGCCAGUGUUUGACAUAGUAGUUCAAUUUACCUUGAAGAAAUUAUGUCAUUUCAUUUUCAAUUCAAAAUCAGAAGUAUUAAAUAUCGGUGGUCCAUUCAGCACUCCACGCAUUGUCAAUUAGAUCAGACGUGACACUCCUCCAGAUACUAGGUUUACGCUAUGCUUUUGAAAAAUUGGGCACUCAAAUAAGAUGAAACCUGAUGGUUAUAUAGGUGCAAUUUCAUUUAUUUUAAUGAAAGAAGAAUUUUGAAACCUGAAGGUUACAUGAUCUUCAUAUUACUCUCAGAGUUUGAACCAAUUUUACUGGGAAUUGUGAUAUUGGGACAAGAUGUCAAGUUUCUGUGUUGAUUGAAGUAUUUUAUUGUUGUUACAG